GAUGAACGCUGGCGGCGUGCUUAACACAUGCAAGUCGAACGAAGCACUUAAGAUUGAUUCUUCGGAUGACGUCUUUUGUGACUUAGUGGCGGACGGGUGAGUAACGCGUGGGUAACCUGCCUCACACAGGGGGAUAACUGUUAGAAAUGACUGCUAAUACCGCAUAACCCGAUAGGAUCGCAUGAUCCAGACGGAAAAGAUUUAUCGGUGUGAGAUGGACCCGCGUCUGAUUAGCUAGUUGGUGAGGUAACGGCCCACCAAGGCGACGAUCAGUAGCCGGCCUGAGAGGGUGAGCGGCCACAUUGGGACUGAGACACGGCCCAAACUCCUACGGGAGGCAGCAGUGGGGAAUAUUGCACAAUGGGGGAAACCCUGAUGCAGCGACGCCGCGUGAGUGAAGAAGUAUUUCGGUAUGUAAAGCUCUAUCAGCAGGGAAGAAAAUGACGGUACCUGACUAAGAAGCCCCGGCUAACUACGUG
rnacentral:rRNA from 1 species